rnacentral:rRNA from 1 species
UUGAACGCUGGCGGCAGGCCUAACACAUGCAAGUCGAGCGGCAGCGCGGGGCAACCUGGCGGCGAGCGGCGGACGGGUGAGUAACGCGUAGGAAUCUACCCAGUAGCGGGGGAUAGCCCGGGGAAACUCAGAUUAAUACCGCAUACGCCCCAAGGGGGAAAGCAGGGGAUCGUAAGACCUUGCACUAUUGGAAGAGCCUGGGUUGGAUUAGCUAGUUGGUAGGGUAAGGGCCUACCAAGGCGACGAUCCAUAACUGGUCUGAGAGGAUGAUCAGCCACACCGGAACUGAGACACGGUCCGGACUCGUACGGGAGGCAGCAGUGGGGAAUAUUGGACAAUGGGGGCAACCCUGAUCCAGCCAUGCCGCGUGUGUGAAGAAGGCCUUCGGGUUGUAAAGCACUUUAAGUGGGGAGAAAGGUUCGGCAGCUAAUACCUGCCGGAAGUGAUGUUACCCACAGAAUAAGCACCGGCUAACUCUGUGCCAGCAGCCGCGGUAA